UACGUAGGUGACCAGCGUUGUCCGGAUUUACUGGGCGUAAAGAGCGCGCAGGCGGUCGUUCAAGUCGAGUGUGAAAGCCCCCGGCUCAACUGGGGAGGGUCACUCGAUACUGAUCGACUUGAAGGCAGGAGAGGGAAGCGGAAUUCCCGGUGUAGUGGUGAAAUGCGUAGAUAUCGGGAGGAACACCAGUGGCGAAGGCGG
rnacentral:rRNA from 1 species